rnacentral:rRNA from 1 species
GAUGAACGCUAGCGGCAGGCCUAAUACAUGCAAGCCAAGGGCUGUUUGGUGUAGCAAUACAUCAAACAACCGGCGGACGGGUGCGUAACGCGUAUGCAACCUACCCUAUACAGGAGGAUAGCCCUCGGAAACGAGGAGUAAUACACCAUAAGAUUGCUUAGAGGCAUCUUUAUGCAAUGAAAGUUGCACGGCGGUAUAGGAUGGGCGUGCGUCCGAUUAGCUAGUUGGUGAGGUAACGGCGCACCAAGGCGAUGAUCGGUAGGGGUUCUGAGAGGAAGAUCCACCUAAAGGGCACUGGCACACGGGCCCGACUCCUACGGGAGGCAGCCGUAAGGAAUAAUGGACAUGGAGUGAGAGUCUGAUCCAGCCGUGCCGCGUGAAGAAAUAAAGCCUUAUGGGUGUUAGUCUGAUCUUGAGGCGGAUAAGUAUGUUUCACGCGUCGCUCGCUGACAGUACUGCUCGAAUAAGCAUCGGCUAACUUCGUG